AGUGAACGCUGGCGGUAGGCCUAACACAUGCAAGUCGAACGGCAGCACAGUAAGAGCUUGCUCUUACGGGUGGCGAGUGGCGGACGGGUGAGGAAUACAUCGGAAUCUACUUUUUCGUGGGGGAUAACGUAGGGAAACUUACGCUAAUACCGCAUACGACCUACGGGUGAAAGCAGGGGAUCUUCGGACCUUGCGCGAUUGAAUGAGCCGAUGUCGGAUUAGCUAGUUGGCGGGGUAAAGGCCCACCACGGCGCCGAUCCGUAGCUGGUCUGAGAGGAUGGUCGGCCACACGGGAAGUGAGACACGGUCCAGGCUCCUACGGGAGGCAGCAGUGGGGAAUAUUGGGCAAUGGGCGCAAGCCUGAUCCAGCCAGACCGCGUGGGUGAAGAAGGCCUUCGGGUUGUAAAGCCCUUUUGUUGGGAAAGAAAAGCAGCAGGUUAAUACCCCGCUGUUCUGACGGUACCCAAAGAAUAAGCACCGGCUAACUUCGUG
rnacentral:rRNA from 1 species